GAAGAAGAUGUAGGAGAGAGGAGAGCUUUCUGUUCCAGUCUUUUAUGAAAAGAGAGAGACUGUUGCUCUGCCAGCCCAUCAUGACCCUCACCAUCAUCAUGUUGUGUUGGAGCCACAGAGAGCAAAUCUUUGUUCUUUAUGGAGAACCAGUGAGGCUGUUUGGACUUUCCUAUGAAACAUCAGUGCAGGAGUCUCUCAGUACAUCUGUUUACAGUGAGGACAAAGAAGCAGCAGAAACAGAGAAAACAUGGAAAAGACGAGCAGCAGCAAAUAGUCUGCAGGACGUUUGUGUGUGUGUGCUGCAGCACUUCCUGUACAGUGUCAGUUUGUUGAGCUAAAAAACUGAAAGGUGUCAGCACUUACUGUUACUGUUGUUCUGAAGAGAUCUCCAAAAUCCUCAAAGAGACGUCUGACCAUCAUGAUAAAAAAACAAAAAAAUAAAAUCCACUAAAAUCUAGAAAGUGUA